CAAAAGAGUGGGGAUAAUAAAGAAGGAAAUCCAAUAAAUAGGACAUUAAUGCUGGGGACAAAUUGAGCUCAACCCUGCUAGAGACUCUCUGAGAGACUGUGUAGAACACACCUCAACUGUCAGUCUGAAGGUACAGGAAGCUAAAAAAAAAAAAAAAAAGAUACAGAAUGACAAAUUGAAUUAAAAACUGACAACAAAAUAUCUGCUGUCUUCAAGAGACUCACCUAACACAUAAGGACUCACAUAAACUUAAGUCUAAGGGGUAGAAAAAUAUAUUUUACACAAGUGAAAACCAAAAGCGAGAAGGAGUAGCUAUUCAUAUAUCAAACAAAACAGACUAUAAAGCAACAAUAGUUAAAACAAAAAAGACAAAGA
rnacentral:lncRNA from 1 species